GCACAAGCGGUGGAUUAUGUUGUUUAAUUCGACGCAACGCGAAGAACCUUACCAGGCCUUGACAUACUCGGCAAAGCUCUAGAGAUAGAGUGGAGGUUAUCCGGGAGACAGGUGGUGCAUGGUUGUCGUCAGCUCGUGUCGUGAGAUGUUGGAUUAAGUCCCGCAACGAGCGCAACCCUUAUUGCUAGUUACCAUCAUUCAGUUGGGCACUCUAGCGAGACUGCCGGUAAUAAACCGGAGGAAGUGGGGAUGACGUCAAAUCAUCAUGCCCCUUAUGACCUGGGCUACACACGUGCUACAAUGGUUGGUACAACGAGUUGCGAGUCGGUGACGGCGAGCUAAUCUCUUAAAGCCAAUCUCAGUUCGGAUUGUAGGCUGCAACUCGCCUACAUGAAGUCGGAAUCGCUAGUAAUCGCGGAUCAGCACGCCGCGGUGAAUACGUUCCCGGGCCUU
rnacentral:rRNA from 1 species